UCUCUUGUCAGGAGUCGAAGGAAGACCCCAAGACAUCCAUGUUUUGGACAGAAAAGAAUUAAGUAUCAUCUAAUUUUGAGGUUGAAAGAAGGGAUGAAAUACAAACGCAUGAAAAUAUUGAAAAGCUAACACUGAAUAUUGUCUUAGAACAUGCUUAGGAUGCACUUGAAGUAUAUAGAACCACAACCACGGCAGAGAAUACAAUUUCUGAAGAUACUUGGUAAGAAUAAGGGAACCGAAAUAGGUUGACCAGACAAAGGGAAAUAUAGUGACAGCCACACCCGUACUAUUUGACCGUAUAAUUGCCUACAAAGUGAAUCAAACUACUGUCUUUUCCAGCAGCACUGCUCAUAGGUAAUCAACCAAUACUGCUUUGAUCUGGUAGGGAAUCUAGUGCUCAUGGUGAUUUGCCAAAAUGAUAUUAUCCGGAAUCUGCAGAGAUCACUGUGGUAAGCCAGAGCUGAAGCAUGAGUGAGACUGGUUCUACAACAGUGGCUGCUGUACAACCUCCAGGUCUUGUAGCAGCAUCGCAUAUGAAAAAACGUUAUCUACAAUCAGAAAAACGCUUGUUCCUGCUGGUUUUAUUUUAUUAACAGUACAAAAUAAUAUAGGAAUCAUUUGUGAGGGAAGACAUAAAUAACAAUAGCUGAGCUUUUUGUCAUUUAUUUAGAAAGGUAGACAGAUUUAUCCAAGACAGUUAGCUCUGUUGCAUGGUCUCUGUAUGAAUGAAGUUCUUUAUAGAAAAUUAUAACUAUUGUGAAUGUGACCCUUCAUUCAUUAGAGAGAAGAAAACAUACAAUGACUAGAACU